UAUUGGCUAAAGUUGAACUGUAUUUGUUGUCUUGCUCUUUAUGCACCGUUUCAUUCUCUCUCUCUUUCUCUCUCAUUUUGAUUCGUGGAACAAAAGAAAAGACAUGGUGUCAAAUAAAUGUGGCAUUAAAAGUGUGGGAUUCACUCAUUUUUUCAGAUUUUACUGGUCAUGAAUUGCAGAAUUUAAUUGUAACUAACAAUGACACAUGCUAUC
rnacentral:lncRNA from 1 species